AUAUAUAAAAAACACGCCAGCUCUACUUCAGAAGUAGAAAGCAGAAAAUUUAAAUACUCUCUCAAGAACUUUUUCUAUGCAUUAUUAUUUCACAGCGCUGGAAAGUGGUCGCGAUGAGAUUGCAUGCAUAAUGCGAAAGUUCUGGAGCAGCAUUUUGCAGAAAUGGGAUCCAUAAGAGACGUUUGCAUUCUGGCGCUGGGGAAAUAAAUCGACAUUCCCUACGGGCAAAGUCUUGCAUUCACACGACUGACGAGGGCGAGGGACGAGAUUCCCUCAAUUGUAAAGUAGUUUGGCAGCCUGCUGAACCUCAUACCUGUAAGGAUCCGCCACUCGCCACACCGGCAAGUGAGUGCGGCAAACAAUACAGGGGACAACGCACACAAACAAGAGGAAAUCUGCAGAUGCUGGAAAUCCGAGCAACAGACUCAAAAUGCUUGAGGAACUCAGCAGGGCAGGCAGCAUCUAGGCAAACAGCCUGGGCAGGGGAGAAGUUCAUGUGGUCCACUAUUAUCAGUGUAACUAAAUGCUUUCCACCACCAGCACCAAGCAGCCAAGUUCAAGUUUUAAGAUUAAGCCCUCAUUUUCUGAUUCUCG